AUUGAACGCUGGCGGCAGGCCUAACACAUGCAAGUCGAAUGGUAACAGGAAACAGCUUGCUGUUUCGCUGACGAGUGGCGGACGGGUGAGUAAUGUCUGGGAAACUGCCUGAUGGAGGGGGAUAACUACUGGAAACGGUAGCUAAUACCGCAUAACGUCGCAAGACCAAAGAGGGGGACCUUCGGGCCUCUUGCAAUCAGAUGUGCCCAGAUGGGAUUAGCUAGUAGGUGGGGUAACGGCUCACCUAGGCGACGAUCCCUAGCUGGUCUGAGAGGAUGACCAGCCACACUGGAACUGAGACACGGUCCAGACUCCUACGGGAGGCAGCAGUGGGGAAUAUUGCACAAUGGGCGCAAGCCUGAUGCAGCCAUGCCGCGUGUAUGAAGAAGGCCUUCGGGUUGUAAAGUACUUUCAGCGGGGAGGAAGGGAGUAAAGUUAAUACCUUUGCUCAUUGACGUUACCCGCAGAAGAAGCACCGGCUAACUCCGUG
rnacentral:rRNA from 1 species